GACGAACGCUGGCGGCGUGCUUAACACAUGCAAGUCGAACGGAAAGGCCCUGCUUUUGUGGGUGCUCGAGUGGCGAACGGGGGAGUAACCCCUGAGUUACCUGCCCUUGACCUUGGGAAAACUUUAGGAAGGCGGGGCUUAUUCCGGAUAGGAACUUCUGCCGCAUGGUUGGGGGUGGAAAGUUUUCGCCGGUUGGGAUUGGACUGGGGGCUUAUCAGCUUGUUGGUGGGGUAGUGGCUUACCAAGGCUUUGCCGGGUAGCCGGCCUGGGAGGGUGACCGGCCACAUUGGGACUGAGAUACGGCCCAGACUCCUACGGGAGGCAGCAGUGGGGAAUAUUGCACAAUGGGCGGAAGCCUGAUGCAGCAACGCCGCGUGCGGGAUGACGGCCUUCGGGUUGUAAACCGCUUUCGCCUGUGACGAAGCGUGAGUGACGGUAAUGGGUAAAGAAGCACCGGCUAACUACGUG
rnacentral:rRNA from 1 species